UACGUAGGGGCAAGCGUUGUCCGGAAUGAUUGGGCGUAAAGGGCGCGUAGGCGGCUUUAUAAGUCUGGAGUGAAAGUCCUCUUUUCAAGGGAGGAAUUGCUUUGGAAACUAUAGAGCUUGAGUGCAGAGAGGUUAUCGGAAUUCCCGGUGUAGCGGUGAAAUGCGUAGAUAUCGGGAGGAACAUCGGUGGCGAAGGCGGGUAACUGGACUGCAACUGACGCUGAGGCGCGAAAGUGUGGGGAGCAAACAGGAUUAGAUACCCGCGUAGUCCCUGA
rnacentral:rRNA from 1 species